rnacentral:rRNA from 1 species
GACGAACGCUGGCGGCGUGCUUAACACAUGCAAGUCGAACGGAAAGGCCCUGCUUUUGUGGGGUGCUCGAGUGGCGAACGGGUGAGUAACACGUGAGUAACCUGCCCUUGACUUUGGGAUAACUUCAGGAAACUGGGGCUAAUACCGGAUAGGAGCUCCUGCUGCAUGGUGGGGGUUGGAAAGUUUCGGCGGUUGGGGAUGGACUCGCGGCUUAUCAGCUUGUUGGUGGGGUAGUGGCUUACCAAGGCUUUGACGGGUAGCCGGCCUGAGAGGGUGACCGGCCACAUUGGGACUGGGGUACGGCCCAGACGCCUACGGGAGGCAGCAGUGGGGAAUAUUGCACAAUGGGCGGAAGCCUGAUGCAGCAACGCCGCGUGCGGGAUGACGGCCUUCGGGUUGUAAACCGCUUUCGCCUGUGACGAAGCGUGAGUGACGGUAAUGGGUAAAGAAGCACCGGCUAACUACGUG